rnacentral:rRNA from 1 species
UACAGAGGUCUCAAGCGUUGUUCGGAUUCAUUGGGCGUAAAGGGUGCGUAGGCGGCGAGGCAAGUCUGGUGUGAAAUCCCGGAGCUCAACCCCGGAACUGCACUGGAUACUGCUUUGCUAGAGUACUGGAGAGGGAACUGGAAUUUACGGUGUAGCAGUGAAAUGCGUAGAUAUCGUAAGGAAGACCAGCGGCGAAGGCGAGUUCCUGGACAGUUACUGACACUGAGGCACGAAGGCCAGGGGAGCAAACGGG